UGAGUAACCUGCCCUUCACUCUGGGAUAACUCCGGGAAACCGGGGCUAAUACUGGAUACGACUCGAACAGGCAUCUGUAUCGGGUGGAAAGAUUUAUUGGUGGAGGAUGGACUCGCGGCCUAUCAGCUUGUUGGUGAGGUAAUGGCUCACCAAGGCGACGACGGGUAGCCGGCCUGAGAGGGCGAUCGGCCACACUGGGACUGAGACACGGCCCAGACUCCUACGGGAGCA
rnacentral:rRNA from 1 species